rnacentral:lncRNA from 1 species
CAAUGAUCCAAAAAAAUAGAAAUGUGAUUUGAAUGCCAAAAUGUUAAGCAUGCCACCAAUAUGAAAAAGAUUAGUUAGUAUAGCAAACUCAUUGUGGAUCGUACAUAGUUUGUUGUGAAAGAGAAAGUGGACUAGUGUGUGACUUGAUGAAGUUAGAAAGGCAAUUUAUAAAGGAACUAUGUAGCAAGAAGUGGUCUCAGCAUGAUGGCAUGAAAGAACAAUCUACCUAAUAUGCUUGGUACAUUACGGAGUAUCAGAUCAUUCAAAAUUUAGCAACAUCUUGCUUAUCACAACUAAUGGUGUUAGUCAUGUUUGAAGAUGCCCUUUGUUUCAGUAAAUUAGGAAUCAAACCUAGGCAUCCUCAACAGAGGUAUCGAUUAUGGUGCUGUACUCAGCUUUAAGCCUUUAACAAACUGAGAAACAAUGUCUCAGCUUUAAGCCUUUAACAAACUGAGAAACAGUGGCUUGCUUCCUUCUCUUCUAUGAAGCUGUAGCAGAGAAAGGAUGAGAGACUUAGUGCCAAGUGGUGGUGGCAUGACCAGAGAUGGCUAAGGAUACUCUUGAGGCUAGAUCAUAUGGUUUCAUAAUGAACUUGUUGACCACAGGAAUGACAUGGACAAUGUCAUGAAGUGGUCAAAGGGUUCCAACAAGAUGACAUUAUCAGAUAAAGAAAAGGGUCACCAUCAUCCAUACCUGAACUUCAAAUGAAGCUUAGUGGGUGCUGAAGUAAUUGCAGUGUUGAGCACUGGAGAUGAUUGUUAGUAAUACACACACAUUUAUGUGUGCAGGUGUACAUAUAUUCCUUCUUUACAUAUACAUAGGUGUGUGUAAAAAGAAAUCAACAUUGUCAACAACUACACAUCAAGCUUCAGGAAAUAACAAAAAUCAUGAAGAUUCUUUAUAUCAAACUGCCUUUGAAGAUACUUCUUCGCAGUUUAAUGUGAUAAUACAACAUGAAUUGUGAUGAUCAUAUAAUCCACAUUAAGUAGAAAUUUUAACAGAAAUUGUGGGAUCAUUAGAGGGACACAUGUCCAUUUAAACUCGUUUUACCAUUUGCCCUUUUGACUGGUUAACCUAGACAGGAACUAUAAAUUUAAAAUCCAACUCGCAAAUUCAGGAGAGGCAGUAUUAGUUUGAAAUUUAGGAACUGUUUCCCAAGUAUUUGGACCUGGGCAAUUCGAUUUGGUGGGUUUUAAAAAGAAAUUUUUUUCCAGUCCAACUCUCUCUCUCUCUCUCUCUCUCUACUAGUUAGGNNNNNNNNNNNNNNNNNNNNAGUCCAACUCUCUCUCUCUCUCUCUCUCUCUACAUUAGGUUGCUUACCCCUACAAUAUAGGAGAUUCAAAUGACUAUAAACAGCAAAUACAGUGCAUUUUCUUAGGGUUCCAGUAAUGUGAAUCCAAUAACUUGAGGCUCGCUCCCCCAGCUUCAUAAACAGUCUGAUAUCAAUGGUCAACACAAAUUCCGUAAGCCCCUUUCUGUAGAUGUUUCAACGAUGAAUUUUGAUUGGCCUAUUCAAGAACAAACCCACAAAAAUGAAAUUUUGCCAAGGGUAUCAUUGCUAAGGAUAACUUAGAUGAAUCCGUUAAAAUGUCAGAAUUAUCUUCAAUUGAUUCUUUACCUUUUUCCUUUUUCAUUUCCUUGUCUUUUACUUAUUUAUUGGACUUUUUCAGAUCAAGCCCCUGUCCCCUCUUCUUCCCCUGAUAUUUCUUUGUAUUCCCCAUUCCCUUUGCUUUCUAUUAUAAAUCCUUGUAUCUACCAUUUCCACCCACUUUCCCUUAGGCCCGUGUUGUACUUUUGAUUUCCACUUCUUUCGUCCCUUUCGUUUGUUCUUGCUAGCUCCAUUUUGUCUUCUUUUUUUUUUUGGCUAAACUUUUUUUCCUAGUUUUCAUUUUCGAUUUUCUACUCUUGUUGUUCUUCUUUCUCUAUUGUUUCUUGUUUCU